UAGAACCCACUCCUGGAACACACCAAUGUAUCUUUGAGUAAUCCAGGCUCCAACGGCUGAAUGACAGGAUGAUGAUGUCUGAUGGGGACCAAGCUUGGAUGCCUUAUGAAAAGCAGACUUUUACUUCUUGCUGGAUAUAAUCAAAUGGAAGUAUGGCUUGUUUGCUUCUCAUUUACGUCUGAAAAGCUGUACCCUUCAGGAAAUUUAUUACCACUGUUCCUCAUUUCUUAGACAUAUAGUAAGAAUUUACCAGCGAUGUUGUUAUUUUAGUGUACAACUCUUGCAAAGUUUUAUUCAAGUGGCUUUACUGGACUUGAUUUUCAGGCCUAAAAUACAUUCUGUAUGGUUGUAAUGUUCUCUUGAAACAUAAAACAGUAACUAUAUUAUUUCCUUAAGUAGAAGAAUUCAGGACUUCAAACAACUUUGCCAAAACAUGUAGUUAACUUUAAAAAAGAAGAAGAAGAUAACGCAACAAACAUUAAGAGAUGAUAAGGAGGAAAAAUGCUUGGGUUAAUUAAAACUUCCCAAAUGAAGAAAGUAGAUAAGAACAUCUCAUGUAAGAGGAAAAUCCAGCCAACCCAAUUAUGUCAGAAAUAAAAAACUCUGCUUUAGCUACACAA